CUGGGAGCCCUCCCGGCUCUAUCUCUUUGUCUUUAUUUUUCUUCAUCCUCACUCCCCCAUUCAGGUUUUACCAUACUGUACUGAAGGGGCAGUAUCCAUCCUUCAAUCAGGAAGUUUCUUUUACAGAAAGAUAUUAAUGGCAUUAAAUUGGACUGUCAAACUAGUAAAUGUGGAAGGAAGAAACAGAUUAUUUGUUUCUAUGUAUGAAAAGAGUGAUAUUCUGUGGUGGAAGGAGUCAAUCCAGAGCCUGUCUUCUUUUAAUAAUGGAGGAAACUAUCUGCAAUGAAGUCUAGGCCGAGCUCCUAAAGAACAUGGGAAGAGUCUGAAGAAGCAUCCCCGGCUCCUUAGGACAUCAGGAAGCUGCAUGAAAGGCUGGAGCAUGAGCAGGGCCCUGCCUUCAGGAACCUGGCACGUGAGCCUGAGAGCUGGGCCUUGGCUUUCUGCACAGCAGCCACUUGCCACAUGUGGCUCUUGCACACUUGAAAUGCACUUAGAAUAGACGCACUAGGAGUGUAAAAUACAGGCUGAGCUUCGAAGACUUAGGUGAUGUAGA
rnacentral:lncRNA from 1 species